rnacentral:misc_RNA from 1 species
CCUCGCUCAUUUCCUCCUCCUCUUCCUCCAAAUCUCGAGCCGGGGCUAAUAAAUGGAGUCGAUAUCGGGUUUCUCAAAGCGCCAUUAUAUUCCUCGUCUUCAUACUCAUCGUCGCCCUCCUCCUCUUCUACUUCUUCGUCGUCAUCUUCGAGAAAUGGACUCGGCGGAGGAACUGUGUUGAAUUCGGUGAGUCCAACGAUUCCACAAGAUUUGGAUCGAAAAAGCCGAGUCAUG